GACGAACGCUGGCGGCGUGCCUAAUACAUGCAAGUUGAGCGAUGAAGAUUGGUGCUUGCACCAAUUUGAAGAGCAGCGAACGGGUGAGUAACGCGUGGGGAAUCUGCCUUUGAGCGGGGGACAACAUUUGGAAACGAAUGCUAAUACCGCAUAACAACUUUAAACAUACGUUUUAAGUUUGAAAGAUGCAAUUGCAUCACUCAAAGAUGAUCCCGCGUUGUAUUAGCUAGUUGGUGAGGUAAAGGCUCACCAAGGCGAUGAUACAUAGCCGACCUGAGAGGGUGAUAGGCCACAUUGGGACUGAGACACGGCCCAAACUCCUACGGGAGGCAGCAGUAGGGAAUCUUCGGCAAUGGACGAAAGUCUGACCGAGCAACGCCGCGUGAGUGAAGAAGGUUUUCGGAUCGUAAAACUCUGUUGGUAGAGAAGAACGUUGGUGAGAGUGGAAAGCUCAUCAAGUGACGGUAACUACCCAGAAAGGGACGGCUAACUACGUG
rnacentral:rRNA from 1 species